GUGCCAGCCGCCGCGGUAAGACGAACCAUGCAAACGUUAUUCGGAUUCACUGGGCUUAAAGCGUGCGUAGGCGGUCUUGUUAGUCAGGUGUGAAAGCCCUCAGCCUAACUGAGGAAUUGCGCUUGAUACUGCAUGACUAGAGAAUGAUAGAGGUGGGUGGAACUGAUGGUGGAGCGGUGAAAUGCGUUGAUAUCAUCAGGAACACCAGUGGCGAAGGCGACCCACUGGGUCAUUUCUGACGCUGAGGUACGAAAGCUAGGGUAGCGAACGGGAUUAGAUACCCCCGUAGUCC
rnacentral:rRNA from 1 species